GAAGCGAGUUGGGCGACUGCUGCUUUUUGUAGAGGAAGGUCCGGACUCCACGGGUAAGGGUGACGGCUAACAGCCGGACGUUAUAGGUCAGUUGACUAAAGGCGAGGAAUAGGGCCACAGAGACGAGGAAGUACGAUAAAUUAAAAUUGUAUGGAAGUGAAACGGGCAACCUCCACCUGGAGCAACACCAAAUAGGCAUGCAAGUGGUUAGUUUACUGCAAGACAGCCCGGUCUGGCAUGCGGGUAGGUGGCUAGAGCUUGUUAGUAAUAACAGGUCGAGAUGGAUAGUCGCACAAAAUCGAAAGAUUUGGACAGAAUCCGGCCUAUAGACUCGCUUCGCUU
rnacentral:RNase_P_RNA from 1 species